rnacentral:sRNA from 1 species
ACCUCAGAUCUUCCGCUUCCUCGUUCUUGUCUUUUUGUUGAGCUGAG